GUGUGCGUCCAGGCAUGGUGGCGGACGUGGUUGAACGGCUGGAAGACCUUUUAAAAGGUUCACGAAUUACAGCGAUAUCGGCUGAAAAACAGGUUCUGUGCGCUUUGCGAUUCUACGCCACGGGAUGUUAUCAACGGCCCGUGGGGGAACAAUGGGGAAUUUCACUGAGUCAGUCAUCAACCAGCCGCUGCAUACACAAGGUAACCGAAGCCAUCAAUAGCCGCUUAUUCUUGUCGGAAGUGAAGUUCCCCAUGACCCAAAUAGAACGUCAAGCUGCCAAGGAAGCGUUUUCCUUAGCUCCUGCGCCUUUUGUCGGAGGAACCAUCGGGGCGAUCGACUGCACCCACAUAUAAUGAGGAAGCAUACGUUAAUCAUCAUGGAUAUCACUCCAUAAAUGUGCAAAUGAUAUGUGACCCAAAUCUUAAAAUCCUGAACGUGAAUGCCAGGUAUCCGGGAGCAAGACAUGACUCCUAUAUUUGGAGCUCUUCCGCUGUGCGACAAGUCAUGCAGCGAGCGUUUGAAAAUGGAAACCGCAAUAUGUUUUUGAUUGGGGAUUCUGGAUACCCAUUAGAGCCAUGGCUCAUGACUCCUUUACCCAACCAGCCAGAAGGGUCACCAAAAUUUCGGUACAAUGAAGCGCUCUGCAAGGCACGGAACCCGAUUGAGAGACUCUUUGGCGUCCUUAAAGGAACGUGGCGAUGCUUAUCACAACAAAGGGUUCUGUUGUAUGACCCCGCUUUCGCUGGUAAAGUCGUUAACGCGUGUGCAGCCCUGCAUAACAUUCGUUUAAGUGAGCGGUCAAUUAGCGAUCCUAUUGAAAAUUUUUCAACAGAUUUUGAGAAUUCUGACAGAAUUUUCGAAAGCCCAAAUGCAUCAUCUUCCAUUGCAAAACGUGUACAAGAAAGAUUGAUUACAAACUUCUUUUCCUAAAAUUUGUAUGAUUACACUUCUAAGGGCCGUUUUCUGAAGUAACCUUUAACUUGAAAGCUCACUAUAUAUUUAAAGGUGGGAUUAAAAAUAAAGCUAUGUCUAAAGUUAAGCAUUUCUAUUAUCGGUUUUUGACGUAUGUAUGUU